AGAAAGAGAGAAGUAUGUGUCCUAAAAAAACCUUCCAGAUCGAGCAGUUUUAUCGAUCAUUCAAGUCUUUCAUGGACCAUGUGCAGCGAUGACAGGUGAUCCAGCAGGCCUCUCUUAGCGAACAAUAAAACUCAGCUUCUGUCUCAAAAAAAAAACAAAACGAUUGCAAAUCUUCAGGCCUCUCCUUUAAUUUAAAACAAUAUAUAUAUAAAGCAGCCUCCUUGCAGGACUGCAGGGACAGCACUGUACUUCCAGAAAGUACCCUGAAAUCUAUCAGAUGUAGAAAUAAAGCAGAGUUAGGAUUUUAUGGAUGGAGAAAUUGCACAGUGGUUUGGCCUAAGCUUUCAACGUCACAUUCAAGGCAGUACAUGACACUGUUCUUUGAACUUAGUAUUUUUGUUAUUUUGUUUUCUGCCUUAAUAUUUUUUAUUCAAUAUUGCCAUUAUUUUUGGCAUACAAGGUAGCAACGUUGGCCUUUUGAUAGUAUUGCCCCUUAAACAACUUUUAAAGUACUUAUUUUUGGAAGAAAAAAGAAUGUGAAUCAAACUGCUCGGGUGGGGCUUAGAGGGAUUCAGGAAAUUAGGUUCAUAAAACACUUAAAAAACAGAGUCAAGCACCUUAAUAGAAAAAAAACAUCUGAUUAAUACCAAACCGACCACUGAUGGUGAAAUAUAUUUGAUAGAACUUCAAAAACAUGCACAUAAGGAUUCCCUAUCAUUUUUUUGUGUUAUAGUGGUUCUUGUUAUUCUUAUAAUAUUACAGUAGUAACUAGUGGCAAUUUGGGAGACCUCUCAUCCAUUUAGUCAAUGCUGUUGACUUGUUUUGAGUUUUGCACUGGUUUAAUGAAGAGAGGGCUUAUUGGAGAUUCUCCCAGUUUAGGCACUGUAUAAGUUAAUGAGUAUUGUACUUUAUGGGAAAGUGCUCUGAGCAUCUAUGUAAAUACAAUAUGUGUAUCAGUUACGAACGACCAGACAAGGGCCUGCUUAAAAGUGAGGUUUUGAUUAUUUUUACAAACUCAAAAGUGUCAUUGUCAAUGUUUUAGCAUAAGGAACUGAAAAUGUUUCUGAGUUUAGGGAGAGUAAAUCUUCUAUAUAUGCGUCCCAUCAUCCUUUUGACUAUAAUAGUAUAUUAGAUAGAUCCAUACAUGUAAGAAAUAUUAUUUAAACUGAUUAACUUAGUAUUUCAUUCAAAUAUAUAGAUUAAAAAAUUAACCAGACACUACUAUAAACCGUAAUAUCCUUUUAUGAAGCCACUGAUGUAUAAAUCCAAUCUCAACUCAAGUGAAUAGUAUGUGUAAUAACCGUACCCCUAAUGAAUAAAUCUGUUUCUAUGUAUAUCAGGAUGAAAAGCAAUAAUAGGACAAUACUGGGACAAACACAAGAGCCUGCUUUGUCAGUUCUUUAAAUAAUAUCCUGUUGAGAACUUGACCUUGAUUGUUAGGGUAAUAUCGUGUCUCAUAUCUGCUUCAAAUUCAUCACGGAUUAAUGCCAGUGUAGAAACAGAGGUACAGUGGAUUAAGACAGCUUCAGGAUUGGAAAUUGUUGUGUUAAUCAGGGUCUCAUUUAAUUUUUUGAUCGAUCGCAUCACAGGGUGGGUCAGGACAAACUUAAGGAUUCCCUCUCCUGAGAGGUGCUGGAAUGAUGAUGACUUCUCAUUGUGCUGUAAAAAUGAUCACUCGAGUGUAAACAAGCAACCAGAGCGUAAGCGCCAAGGUCGCUCCUGUUUGUGGAGCAGCAGGAGCUGGUGACUUCACUUAUGACAGGCUGAUGUCUUGAGGGCUUUGGUCAAAAAUGUACAACGGCAGCGAGAAGCAGAAGGCAGGACAACAUGAUAUGAUGCACUGCAGCCAUGUUGUCCGUUUGAUUAAACUACAUACAGGGGCAGACGUGUUACUCACAGCAUAUCUUAAGACUUCUGUUUACAUGGUAAUGAUUUCAUGGCUCUGUUUAAUAGUUGCUUUGCACCUCCUACUUUUCAUCUGUUAUUUUCAAAGGUCAGACAUAGCCAAAGAACAAAAUACAAGGAGAGCUAACUUGAGUUAACUUAUUUUUAGUGUCAAAAUCAGCCUGGUUUAGAGUUUACUGGAUUGAGUAUGAAGCUCAUAGCUAGAAUAUCCGUUUACCCAAAAGUCCCAAUUGAUCAAUCUGUGAAUAAAAUGAAGGCAUAUCAUGUUUCAGUGUUGUAAGAUUAGUUUAAUGCCACUAACAGACUCCCCAAAGAGAGCAGCUUAAAGCACAUCCUGACACUUAAUCAGUCAUUAGAGUCGUUUUUCUCUUGGUCUGGAAAAAAAAAAUGGAAUCUUUCAGAAUUUAAAAAAAAAAAAAAAAACGAGUUAAGAAGGAAUCGAAAACAAACCAGCAAAAACGAAACUGUAAGCAACAACACUGCAUUUUUCUUUUUUUUUUUACUUUAUAUUGUUUAUAGAGCCAUUAACUGUAUCCUUAAGUUUAACUGCAUGUUAGUAAAAUAUAGUACAAUAGGUAAGAUUUAUCGAGGAAAAAAAAGAUUGCAUAAAUAAUUCAUCAGCCUGAUACCUGAAGUGUAUAAAAAGCUUUAAGACCUUAAAGUGAACAUCGGUUUAAAAUCAUAUAUUUACCGUGUAGUUUAACGAAUUGAUGCAUAGUUUAAUUAUGAUUCUUAAGAAUAUGCUAAGUUUCAUUUGUCCAGCUCACCCAGUAUGAAAUACAUUUUAAUCCAGUGGAGCAGCGAAGGGGUGGGGCGACUCACAGUGACAUUUGAUUCAUUAAGUUCUUGUUAGUAUUAUUUACAAUAUUGUAUUAAGCUUACUAUUAUAGUAAUGGUAGAAACUGUUGAUGUUUUUCUUCUCUUGAUAUGAAAAGGUCUUUAUGCAUUUAUGUAGAAUCCCUUUUAAGGAGUGAUAGGAAAUCCUUAUUUUCAAUGGAUGCACUUAAGCAAUUGUACCAACCUGUCUAAAUCACAUUGAGCAAGCAAUGCAUUUGAAUGUAAAAAGAAAACAAACAAAAAAAAACACACAAAAAGUUGUUUUUUUGUUUUUUUUUUUUAAAAAAGAACACUCAACUUAAUGCACUCCUUACGCUUAUUGUUUGGUCAAUUUUACAAGUGAGCUUUAAGUUUUUUGUUUGUUUUUUGGAAAGGAAUUUGCAACAGGUUUUCAACGUAGACUAUAUUUGAGUUCUUCCACAUACAUUUAUAGAAAGUAACUUAAAAUGAAUAAAAAAAACAUAUUACAGUUUCUCAGAUCUAUUUUGCUAACAUGGGUUAUUAUUUCAUAGAAAGCAGAGGAAAAAAGUCAGUAUCUGGAUGUUAUUUAUGAAAAGUAAAAAAUGAAGCAACAUAUUUAUGAGUAACCUCAAGACAUUUUGUUUUUUAAUUAAAAUUACAAGAAGUUAAUAUAUUUCUAAACACAGGGAAGUCAGUUUCUACUAAGUAAAAUGAGAAAAGAAGUUUAGAAGUUUUAUUUAUGAAAGUUAUGGACACUCGCCUUUUCCAUGCACUUCAUGGCGAAUGAAGUGCAUGCAACAAGAGGUGCUCAUAGCUUAAAUUUUAACUUCACAUGUGCACUACUACAACAUCAGUGCAUUCACAAUGGAAUAAUUACAGAAAAUAAUAUAAUAUUUUUUAGAAUUUGGAGAUAUUUUAGUCACAGAGCAUCAAUUUUGUGCCUCAAUUAUAUAUUUUUCCUGCAUCAGCAUUCUUUGUGCAGUGCUGCUUGCUGUAACCCCUUUCCCCCCUUCAACUAACCCCAUGUUACUGACUGAAACGCAUUACUCAUUUCCUCUGUAAUCUAAACUCGCUUUUACUUAUCGAAAAAAACAUGUUACAACUGCAACGCUUGGAGUGAAUGAGGCAGCUGUGGUCCCCUCGCCAGUAGGGCCACACACUUGUACACACUUUCAUUCAUACAUUUUCUACAUCUGCUACUCAGACAGUUUGUGAUCGAUGGAGCGCAAUCAGAUCAAAAAAGGCCUUUAUGAAAGACUUUCCCUAAUAUGUUCGUUAGGUGAAGUGUGAGCGGAGGCAUCUAGCAGCGGACAGCAGCGCACUGUGUAGUAGAUCUAUGUAACUAGAUGCACACAUAUACACACAACAGAUUCAUUACCGUACUAGUUUGCAUGUAUGUUGUAUGGUCACUUAGACAGGAGAAACGGUGCAGGCCCUGCGUUGUCCUCUAACGUCAGCACACUUGGGCCGUUUCUCCUCUGUAGAUUUUCAUAGUUGGAGUCUCUUUGGAAAGUAGAAAGUUGACAUGAGUUUGGAGCCAGUCAAAGACCAUUUCAGUCCUCACAUCAGACUUCUUUACUCUGUUACCUGCUUAGUGAUGAAAGAUUGUGUUAGCACCGCAUAGGAAUUAACUUCAAGUUUGUGCAAGAGUCGAUACAGUUAAGAAAAACUUGAUAAAACACUACAAUGGCACAUUUCUGCUGCAUGCAAAGGUCGGGGACUGAAGUGGUGCAGGCUGGUGAAACUCGCAACCUUUUUCCAAAGAGGCCGAUACAGUCUGACAGUUUGUCUUUGGUAGCGUUUCCAAUUUUUCCAGCACAGUAGAGGUGUUUCAUACCGGUCUAAUAGUGGUUGUAGUGCAUUAGUUUUUGGGCCAGGAUCACCUGGCGUUAGUUUCUGGUUUCUCUGUGAACAGUAAAGGAGGGUUGCCACUGUGGCCCUCUGUGGCUGACCGUCAACUUUGAUGGAUGGAAAAAAAAAAAAAAAGCAAAAAAAAAAAAAAAAAAUAUGAAGAAGUCUUUGAACUCUGUUACAGUGUGCCAUGCCCUUAAUAAGGCAUGUGAUAUUGCAGGUUUAUUUCUUAUAGCACAUGUUUUUUUGUGAAUUACAUUUUUUGGAGACAUUUUUAUUAUUAUUAUUGUAUCUGCGCCAUGUUAGUUCUGGUUCUUUGUUAUUUUUCCAAGAUUCAAGAUGUAUUGUAAAUGUUUCUAAUAAAACAAAAAUGAAAUGAUCUCCAAC
ensembl:lncRNA